rnacentral:lncRNA from 1 species
UGUGUGAUUCUCUCCAAGCUGUCGAGGAGAGAGGAUGCAUUUUUCUGCUCCUGCAGACGCAAGAUGUCUUUCUGUAAUAUACCAGCUUUGAACUGUAAAUAAAGCAAUAUAGAGUAUGGAGCACAUUUUCCUCAUCCUUCCGCUGGGCACAACAGACUCUGCUUUAAAUCAACACGUGGUUAUGGACUCCAGGAGUCGAAUCGGAGUGCCGGCAGAGGAUCGGAAUGCAGAGGGACGGAUCGGAAAGGAAUCUGCUCUGCGCGUAGAAGUGAUUGAUGAGGUAUGUGCUACUGCUCCGGGCAGCCUGCCAGCUUCAAGAUAAUGGCUUUAUGGCUGGACUUUGAACUUUUAAAGCCGGUUUUGCCGGGAAUAGGCAAAAGGCUCCCAGGCACAAGUCACUAUGCUGGGGAAAUCGAAAGUAACUUUUAAGUGCGCCUUUGUAAUCAGGCAGCUGCAGCAGUGACGCAGCAAGAUUUAAAGCAGCAGAUAUGACGCUGAAGGCUAAUGCCAGAGUCAUGAUGGCCCUUCAGGAUGCUUGUGGGAUUCCUAAGCUCAACAAGAAAAAUUACAGCGACUGGGUUCAGUAUGCAGAGGCAAUUCUGCGGAAAGAGGGUUUGUUUGAGGUGAUUACAGAAACCCCCCCAGUUCCAGUUACAGAUGCAUGGCAAGCUAAGGAUUCCAAAGCAAGGGGAACUCUUACAUUGAUAGUAUCCCCAGAAGAGCUCUGUCUAUUGCGUGAUAAGACCUCAGCCAGAGAAGUUUGGGACGCUCUGAGAGAGGCUCACUUAAGGACAGAAGCUGGAUCCACUAUGUUUUAUUUUAACAAGCUGCAUAAUAUGGCUCUUGCUGAAGGUGGAGAUGUGCGUUUACAUCUAAUGGAGAUGCAAAAUCUGAGACAUGAGCUGCAACAGAGAGGACUCAACUUUCCAGAGGCUGUGUAUUCUUUCAUGAUACUACAAUCUUUGGGUUCAGGUUGGGAGUCUGUUGCAACCCAGAUUGCUGUGCAACCAACUGCUCAGCUGACAGUGGACUUUGUUACUGCCGUGAUUUUAAAUGAAGCAGAUCGCCGGGGUGCUAGCUGCAUGGGCAAGGAGAGUCUUCACAGACGUCAUCCCAUAGUGCAGUGGAACCACCAGAUGGCGCCAAAGCUUUGAAGGCAGUGAAAUGCUACUCGUGUGGACGUCUAGGCCAUAUGAAGAGGGAAUGCAGACAUCCCAGGGCCAAGACAGAGCAGCGCAGCGAAAGCUCAUCGCGCGGAAAAGGCCGAGGCAAAGGCAAAGGUCCGGUGUCUAGGACAACGCAGCACAAGGCUAUGGUUUCACGCUUCACUCCAAAGGUUGCAGAGGUCCAGAAGACGUCUAGAUCUUUCUUCGUUGUUGAUUCAGCGGCCACCCACCACAUGUGCAACGAUAAGAAACUGUUUGUGUCUUUUACACCGCAGGAAGGUGCGAUUCACCAGGCGGAUGACCACACUAUUCCCAGUAAAGGCUACGGAACUGUUGUUCUUCACAGUUUGGACUUAUCGAUACAGAAUGUGCUUUACGUGCCAGACGCCAAACAUAAUCUGCUCAGCGUUGGACAGCUGAAUGAGCGGAACAUUGACGUUUCCUUCAAGAACAAGAAGUGCAUCAUCACAAAGAAAAAUGAUUAUGUAUUGCAUGCAGAAUAUGUUGAUCGUUUGUUUGUUUUGUAUUAUGAUGAUGUGGUGCAGGAUGACACUUGUUGCAUUGCAGGUUCUAACAAAAGUUUGCAUGCAGAAUGUAUUCACGAUUUUCAUCGCAAAUUUGGUCAUUUGCAUUUUGAGGCAGUAUCUAAAAUGCCUGCCUUGGUUGAAGGUAUGACUAUUAAACCCUGCAGGUACCACAUGAAGUGCAAAGCAUGCGCAGCAAACAAGGUGAAAAUGGCUGCGAAAGGUAAGGUGUCUAGUAGGAAAGCUACAGAACCAUACCAGGUUGUUCAUGCUGAUUUGGUUGGUCCACUAACGCCCUCUUUGGGUGGAAAUAGAUACUUCAUGGUUCUCAUUGAUGCAUUUUCUAGAUAUAUUUUUGUGUACAAUCUCAAGCAGAAAUCGGAGGCUUUUCCUAGGUUCAAGGAAUUCUGUGCUUGGUUGGAAAAUGUGCAUGGUAAGAAGAUAAAGACUCUUUUCAGUGAUCGCGGGGGGGAAUUCACUUCUCAGCAGUUUGAAGCUUUUCUGACUGAGAAAGGAAUUCAACACGAUUUGUCUAGUCCUCGCUCGCCAUGGCAGAAUGGACUUGCGGAACGGGCAAAUCAAACAUUGCUUCAAGGAUUAAAAACCUUGCUGCAUGAUGCCAAUCUUCCAGAGAGUUAUUGGGCCGAAUCUCUCUCGUGUUUUGUUUACAGUUACAAUCGCAGAUUAUCUUCAGCGAUUGGUUGUACCUCUAUGAGAAGAUGUUUGGCAAGAAGCCAUACAUCAAACACAUGAAGAUUUUUGGUUCUGACAUGUGGGUUCACUCACCACAAAACUCCAAGUUAGACAAGCGUGGAUUGCAUGGUAUCUUUCUAGGUUAUCAGAAAGGGUCUUACAGAAUAAUGAUGACUGACUCUAAGACAAUUAAGCUCACGAGAAGUGUUGAGUACAAUGCAAAGUGGGGGAGAAUGGGGGAAUUUUCCAAUGUUAUCCUGAUGACGGUGAUGAGACUGAGGAUAGUCAAAAGCAACCACAACAGCCCACACCCACUGAUGAAGGUUCUGAGUCUGAAUCUGAAACUGAAUCGGGUGAUUCAGAGGAUUUCGAGAGUGCGAAAGCCUCUAUGCGACCCUCUGAAAGCUCUGAUCAAGAAUUGGAGGAACCAUUGUUCACAAUAGGUCGUUUUUCUCCUAAGAAGGAAGAGGAGAGUGUUGAAGACUUAAGGAUAAUUCGUAGGUCACAGAGAGCCACAAAAGGCAAACCUCCAAAGAGAUUUGCUGAUGAGUUUGCUAAGAUAGCAGUAACAGCUGUUAAAAGCUCCAAGAAGGUAUUUGAACCUUCAAGUUUCCAAGAAAUCCAGGGUUUGGAUUCAAAGGAAGCUGAGCCAUGGUUAAAUGCCAUGAAGGCUGAGCUUGAUUCCUUAGAAAGGAACAAAACAUGGGAGCUAGUUCCAGUAGUUCCAGGAAUGAAACUGCUUGGAAGCAAAUGGGUCUUCAAAGCGAAGACAGAUCAAAAUGGCAAGAUAGUCAGACACAAAGCCAGAUUGGUAGCCAGAGGUUUUGCACAGGUACCAGGUGAAGACUAUCACGAGACCUAUUCACCCACAGUGAGAUAUGAAAGCAUUAGGCUUAUGCUCAAGCUAGCUGCAGAGGAAAAUCUACACAUUAGUCACCAUGAUAUUAAUACAGCUUUUCUGUACGGAUCUCUAGAUGAAUCACUUUAUAUGCUUCCACCUGAUGGCGUACAGGUAAAACAGGGAUUUGUUUGUGCUCUGAAGAAAUCCCUUUAUGGUCUCAAACAAAGUGCACGGUGUUGGCACACAAAACUCACUGAAGUAUUGUUUUCUCUAGGUUUUCAGCAAGGGAAAGCUGAUCCAUGUGUAUUUGUCAAAGAGGAGGGGCAAAAGAAACUGUACUGUUUGUUUUAUGUUGAUGAUUUAUUAUUCUUUUGGAAAGAUGUCGCAAUGUACAAUAACGCCCUAGCUCAACUGAAAGAGCACUUUGACAUGAAAGAUCUUGGUGAGGUAAACAACUACCUAUCUCUGGAAAUAGAGAGAGAUCAAGAUGGUAACAUUCUAGUACACCAGUCACGGAAAAUUGCUGAUGUGUUAAGCAAACUAAAUCUGAUGGAUGCUAACCCUGUAGACACACCGAUGACAACAGGUUAUCAGGUAGAUGACACUGAAGAAGCAUUUUCUGACACUACACUGUACAGGAGUGUGCUAGGCAAGCUAAACUUCAUUGCCAGAUGUUCAAGACCAGACAUUGCUGUUAGCUGUAAUUUGCUAAGCAGACAAGUCAACAAUCCUAGUGUCAAGGAUUGGAAAGCUCUGAAACGCAUAGCGCGGUAUUUGAAAGGCACUAUGCAUUACAGACUGAGAUUUAACAAUCAGAAGUCUGGUGGUCUUGAGAUAUUUGCAGAUGCAAGUUUUGGAAGUGACACUACAGACAGGAAAAGUACGUCUGGAGUUUGCUACAUGUACAAUCAGAGUCUGUUUGAUUGGUCAUGCAAGAAGCAAACAACAGUUAGCUUAAGUACUUGUGAAGCUGAACUGAAUGCACUGUCUUAUUCACUUAAGGAUUGUGAAUGGUUAGUACAAUUGUGCAAAGAUAUGAAAAUUCCUGUCAAAUGUCCAAUCCAGGUUUACCAGGACAACAAAGCAUGUUUGGCUUUGCUGAAGUCUGAAGGUUGUAAGCAAAGCACAAAGCACUUGCAAUUAAAGUUGCAGCAUGCUAGGGAAUGUAUUCAGAAGGGACUCGUAACGGUGUCCUAUAUGCCAGGUAAUGAAAUUCCUGCUGAUGUAUUGUCCAAGAUUGUAUCAAGGGAUCAACACUGUACCUAUGUGCAGAAGUUGGGUUUGUACUGAUAUUGUGCAAACACGCUGCCCAGUGAUGUUCACAGAAAGGGGGAGGAUGUUGGUUUCUGAUUUCCCUCACUGAGCAGCAACUGCAGUCACAAGACAUUGUUUUACAUUCCACAGUCUGUACUGUUGGAGUUUCUCACGGGAAAGGGAGACUGGAUGUGACGUACACUGGUUUCCUGUUUUUCACUCUCUGUGAUUCUCUCCAAGCUGUCGAGGAGAGAGGAUGCAUUUUUCUGCUCCUGCAGACGCAAGAUGUCUUUCUGUAAUAUACCAGCUUUGAACUGUAAAUAAAGCAAUAUAGAGUAUGGAGCACAUUUUCCUCAUCCUUCCGCUGGGCACAACAGACUCUGCUUUAAAUCAACA